UUUCCGUAGGUGAACCUGCGGAAGGAUCAUUACCGUACAAAAUGUGAGUGGCAUGCCAGGGCCGUCGCUGACCCAAGAGUCGUCCACGCCCGAGUGUGUCCUCUUGCACAAUCAGCCAUCUCCCCCUUCGUGUUUCACUGCGUGGCCACUCUUCGGGUUCAUCCCGGAAGGUGGAACGCUUUUUCACACAAACCCCCCUUUCUAAAGUGUAUAAUGACCACAUUUCUGCAGUCAAUACAACAUCCAACAACCGAUCUCUCGGCUCUCGCAUCCAUGAAG
rnacentral:misc_RNA from 1 species